rnacentral:tRNA from 1 species
GCGGCAGUGCUGGAAUCGGCAGACAGGCACGUUUGAGGUGCGUGUGCGUUAGCGUGUGGGUUCAAGUCCCAUCUGCCGCA